AGACUCUCGGGCCGUGAGCGCGCUUUCGGCGACGAGCUUGGCGGGUGGGGAGCUUCCCAGCGUCCAUCCCAGACGGUGCGAUUGCAUCAGACACGAGACUCUGAGCCCUGGGGGUUUGGCGCAGUGGACAGAGCGUCGGCCUGCGGACCAAAGGGUCCCCGGUUCUGUUCUGGUUGAGGGCACAUGCCCGGGUGGC